GAUGAACGCUGGCGGCGUGCCUAAUACAUGCAAGUCGAGCGAACAGACGAGGAGCUUGCUCCUCUGACGUUAGCGGCGGACGGGUGAGUAACACGUGGAUAACCUACCUAUAAGACUGGGAUAACUUCGGGAAACCGGAGCUAAUACCGGAUAACAUGUUGAACCGCAUGGUUCAACAGUGAAAGACGGUCUUGCUGUCACUUAUAGAUGAAUCCGCGCCGCAUUGGCUAGUUGGUAAGUUAACGGCUUACCAAGGCAACGAUGCGUAGCCGACCUGAGAGGGUGAUCGGCCACACUGGAACUGAGACACGGUCCAGACUCCUACGGGAGGCAGCAGUAGGGAAUCUUCCGCAAUGGGCGAAAGCCUGCCGGAGCAACGCCGCGUGAGUGAUGAAGGUCUUCGGAUCGUAAAACUCUGUUAUUAGGGAAGAACAAAUGUGUAAGUAACUAUGCACGUCUUGACGGUACCUAAUCAGAAAGCCACGGCUAACUACGUG
rnacentral:rRNA from 1 species